AAGCAGAAGCCGCUAGGCUGGGAACUAGCGCAGUAUCACUUCUGCCACCUCCUGUUGGUCAGAGUAGCCACCGUUCACCCAGAUGGAAAGGGGCAGAGAAAGGGGCCUCACCUCUUGAUGGUGAGAGCAAGGUCACGUUGCAGAAGAGCACGGGGGAUGGGAGCCACUGUCAGUGCCAUCCUGGAAGGCACAAUCUGUCACGGCCUCAAAGUGCUGUCAGCUACGCUUCUGCCCAGAUAAGCAGAGCUUCCUCACCCUAGCCGAGCACUCCCGACUCUCCAAAGAGCCAAGCUGCCCGCGACGCCCGUCCAGAUGCAGCCACUGUUCCCAGGUCCUCAUGUCCUGCCAGAAAUAUGCUCUGCAUUUACAAGCAACGCUUGUUGAAGAACCGACAGCCAUGUGGAAAUGCGGUUGGACAGAAGGUAUGCUUAGGGGUAAUAGCCGCAGGGGAGCCCCCGCAAGGCCUGUCGGGCCAGAGUCUUCUUGGUCUCUCUGUGUAGCAUUCUUUCCUCUUGGGUUUGAGGCAGG